UGGGGUAUAGCUCAGUGGUAUAGCAUGUGCUUAGCAUGCAUGAGGCCCUGGGUUCAAUUUCUAGCACCAAAA
rnacentral:tRNA from 1 species